GAAUCCGCYAAGGAGUGUGUAACAACUCACCUGCCGAAUGAAUUAGCCCUGAAAAUGGAUGGCGCUGAAGCGGGUGGCCGAGACCACGCCGUCUGAGAGAUGAAACGAAAUGAAUCGGAUGAGUAGGGGGACGUGGCGGUUGUGUGGAAGCGUGCGUGCGAACGUGCGUGGAACGGCCGCUAGUGCAGAUCUUGGUGUCAGUAGCAAAUAUUCAAACGGGAACCUUGAAGGGCGAAGCGGGGAAGGGUUCCACGCGAACAUUGAUUGAGCGUGGGUGAGUCGUUCCUAAGCCGCGCGGUAAUGGCGAAUUGACGGGCGCGAAAGGGAAGCAGGUUGAGAAUCCUGCACACGGAUGUGGAGGCGGUGACGCAUCACUGGGGCGAUAACGCUGGCGGUGGCACUGGGCAGAGAUGUCUUUUCUGUUUAACUAGCUAGGCGCGCUGUGUGGAAUCCGCUUGUCGGGAGAAACACGCGUGACCGGGGCAGAGCGCCGGGGGGGAAUCCGGCGUCCAGGUAGCCAUCGACGGACCUUGAAACAUUGCUUGCUGGCAAUUGGAGUCUCUCUCGGGGGACGCCUUUUGUAUGUGAAAAAUCCACGCCGUGACGUACCGAUGUCCGCAUCAGGUCCCCAAGGUGAACAGCCUCUGCUCGAUAUGAACAAUGCAGGUAAGGGAAGUCGGCA
rnacentral:rRNA from 1 species